UAGUCUUACUUUUUAAUUUAAAGAAUUCUCAUUCCACGUUUCUUUAAAAUCUACAGACACCACAUAUAUUUCUUCUUCUCUUUGCUCUUUAGAACUUUAAAGAACAAUUGCUAUGUUUUCCAGUUGUCCUCACUUGACAAUUGACAUAGAAUACACCUUGAGAUCUUGUUCAAAUGUUAAUUAUUUUUUUUUGUUAACAAGAAUUUGUCAGGCAUCUUUGUUUUCUGAUUUUCUCAACUAUUUUGGUGUUAGACAAGAAGAGUUUGGGGCGGAAAUUGGAGCUCCCCAACAAUAAUGGUGAACUUUUUCAGGGAUUUUGCCUCUUUUUGUAUUUUUCAAGAUAAUUGUUGUUUUUUCGUAUCUAUAUUAUGUGGGAUUGUUUUGCCAUAAUUUUCGUAAUAUUAUCAUAUACUUGCCAUAGACCUCUGAUUCGACAAAGUUGACACACUGUUUAUUCUGUAUUCCGCUUAAUUUUGGGAUAAAAUUAUCCAAGUUGAUUGUGCAGAAGGAAUCCUAUAAUCAAGGGUAUGUUGUUAAUUUUAUGCACCCAACCUGUUUGAUAAUAUGUGCGACUCAGUUUAUUUAGAGUGAUCAUGUUGGCUUUUGCAAUUUCAAGGGUAACUCUUUGUCAUCUCUCUGUUUUGCUCUUGGUUUUUCAGAUUUGAUUUCAUAGUUUUCUGUUUUUCCUCCACUAUCUUUUGACGCUCAAUUUUUCUCAUGCACGUCUCUACAUUUGCCUGUAGAUUUCGCAUAUCUUCAUAUGUUUUUCCCUCAAUUUUCUUUUUAUGUUCAAUUUGCUACCGCCUUUUUCUAGAUUUGUCUGAAUAAAUUUAUAAAGCUUUGAUUUAAAUUUAGUUGUAUGGCUCGAUAGAGUUUGAAUCUGAUAAGUAUCAAAAGCUGUUUUUGGGAUGUACAUUGACAUAAAUAAGGAUAGAAGGUUUUACCUCUUGGUAGAGGGAGUGAUCUACAAACAAGUAGAACGUAGAUAUGAGUUCAGCUUAUUAAUACAAGUCUGCGGGAAGGAUAGGCAUAAAAUCAAGAAGGAAAUGAUUAAUUUAAUACUUCAUAGGAAACAUCCAACUCAACCAUAAAUCUGAAGGGCUGGCCAAUAUUACUUGGUUCAAAUUUUCCUUGAAGAAUUGCCACUACUUGCUCCUGCCACCAUCAUUACAGGUUACAGCGUUGUAUUCUGGCAUGAAAUGGUAUUGAUACACGCGAGCUGUUACUUGUAACUUGCAAUCAGUCUGAGAAAUUCAAUGAUCCAAGAAUCUUGUGUAUAUUACUAAAUUUCUAUUUUUAUUUAUAUUUUUCCAAUUUUAAGCUGUUCCGCUUGAGAUUCAACAGCUAAAAUCAAUUGUACUAAUGUAUCUGUUUUUAAUUUGUUGGGCUGGUGUCAGCACGGGCAUAUUAUGUCUAGUAUAACAAUAAAUGUGAUUAAUAAUUUUUAAUAUGAUACACGCAUACUGCGA